rnacentral:rRNA from 1 species
AUGACUUGUGGCUGGGGGUGAAAGGCCAAUCAAACCGGGAGAUAGCUGGUUCUCCCCGAAAGCUAUUUAGGUAGCGCCUCGUGAAUUCAUCUCCGGGGGUAGAGCACUGUUUCGGCAAGGGGGUCAUCCCGACUUACCAACCCGAUGCAAACUGCGAAUACCGGAGAAUGUUAUCACGGGAGACACACGGCGGGUGCUAACGUCCGUCGUGAAGAGGGAAACAACCCAGACCGCCAGCUAAGGUCCCAAAGUCAUGGUUAAGUGGGAAACGAUGUGGGAAGGCCCAGACAGCCAGGAUGUUGGCUUAGAAGCAGCCAUCAUUUAAAGAAAGCGUAAUAGCUCACUGGUCGAGUCGGCCUGCGCGGAAGAUGUAACGGGGCUAAACCAUGCACCGAAGCUGCGGCAGCGACGCUUAUGCGUUGUUGGGUAGGGGAGCGUUCUGUAAGCCUGCGAAGGUGUGCUGUGAGGCAUGCUGGAGGUAUCAGAAGUGCGAAUGCUGACAUAAGUAACGAUAAAGCGGGUGAAAAGCCCGCUCGCCGGAAGACCAAGGGUUCCUGUCCAACGUUAAUCGGGGCAGGGUGAGUCGACCCCUAAGGCGAGGCCGAAAGGCGUAGUCGAUGGGAAACAGGUUAAUAUUCCUGUACUUGGUGUUACUGCGAAGGGGGGACGGAGAAGGCUAUGUUGGCCGGGCGACGGUUGUCCCGGUUUAAGCGUGUAGGCUGGUUUUCCAGGCAAAUCCGGAAAAUCAAGGCUGAGGCGUGAUGACGAGGCACUACGGUGCUGAAGCAACAAAUGCCAUGCUUCCAGGAAAAGCCUCUAAGCAUCAGGUAACAUCAAAUCGUACCCCAAACCGACACAGGUGGUCAGGUAGAGAAUACCAAGGCGCUUGAGAGAACUCGGGUGAAGGAACUAGGCAAAAUGGUGCCGUAACUUCGGGAGAAGGCACGCUGAUAUGUAGGUGAAGCGACUUGCUCGUGGAGCUGAAAUCAGUCGAAGAUACCAGCUGGCUGCAACUGUUUAUUAAAAACACAGCACUGUGCAAACACGAAAGUGGACGUAUACGGUGUGACGCCUGCCCGGUGCCGGAAGGUUAAUUGAUGGGGUCAGCGCAAGCGAAGCUCUUGAUCGAAGCCCCGGUAAACGGCGGCCGUAACUAUAACGGUCCUAAGGUAGCGAAAUUCCUUGUCGGGUAAGUUCCGACCUGCACGAAUGGCGUAAUGAUGGCCAGGCUGUCUCCACCCGAGACUCAGUGAAAUUGAACUCGCUGUGAAGAUGCAGUGUACCCGCGGCAAGACGGAAAGACCCCGUGAACCUUUACUAUAGCUUGACACUGAACAUUGAGCCUUGAUGUGUAGGAUAGGUGGGAGGCUUUGAAGUGUGGACGCCAGUCUGCAUGGAGCCGACCUUGAAAUACCACCCUUUAAUGUUUGAUGUUCUAACGUUGACCCGUAAUCCGGGUUGCGGACAGUGUCUGGUGGGUAGUUUGACUGGGGCGGUCUCCUCCUAAAGAGUAACGGAGGAGCACGAAGGUUGGCUAAUCCUGGUCGGACAUCAGGAGGUUAGUGCAAUGGCAUAAGCCAGCUUGACUGCGAGCGUGACGGCGCGAGCAGGUGCGAAAGCAGGUCAUAGUGAUCCGGUGGUUCUGAAUGGAAGGGCCAUCGCUCAACGGAUAAAAGGUACUCCGGGGAUAACAGGCUGAUACCGCCCAAGAGUUCAUAUCGACGGCGGUGUUUGGCACCUCGAUGUCGGCUCAUCACAUCCUGGGGCUGAAGUAGGUCCCAAGGGUAUGGCUGUUCGCCAUUUAAAGUGGUACGCGAGCUGGGUUUAGAACGUCGUGAGACAGUUCGGUCCCUAUCUGCCGUGGGCGCUGGAGAACUGAGGGGGGCUGCUCCUAGUACGAGAGGACCGGAGUGGACGCAUCACUGGUGUUCGGGUUGUCAUGCCAAUGGCACUGCCCGGUAGCUAAAUGCGGAAGAGAUAAGUGCUGAAAGCAUCUAAGCACGAAACUUGCCCCGAGAUGAGUUCUCCCUGACUCCUUGAGAGUCCUGAAGGAACGUUGAAGACGACGACGUUGAU